rnacentral:rRNA from 1 species
AUUGAACGCUGGCGGCAGGCCUAACACAUGCAAGUCGAGCGGAUGAAGGGAGCUUUCUCCUGGAUUCAGCGGCGGACGGGUGAGUAAUGCCUAGGAAUCUGCCUGGUAGUGGGGGAUAACGUCCGGACACGGGCGCUAAUACCGCAUACGUCCUGAGGGCGAACGUGGGGGAUCUUCGGACCUCACGCUCUCAGAUGAGCCUAGGUCGGAUUAGCUAGUUGGUGGGGUAAAGUCCUACCAAGGCGACGAUCCGUAACUGGUCUGAGAGGAUGAUCAGUCACACUGGAACUGAGACACGGUCCAGACUCCUACGGGAGGCAGCAGUGGGGAAUAUUGGACAAUGGGCGAAAGCCUGAUCCAGCCAUGCCGCGUGUGUGAAGAAGGUCUUCGGAUUGUAAAGCACUUUAAGUUGGGAGGAAGGGCAGUAAGUGAAUACCUUGCUGUUUUGACGUUACCAACAGAAUAAGCACCGGCUAACUUCGUG